CGGCGAGUGAAGAGGAAAGAGCUCAAAGUUGGAAACUGUUUGGCUUAGCUAAACCGUAUUGUAAACUGUAGAAACAUUUUCCUGGCACGCCGGAUUAAUAAGUCCUUUGGAACAAGGCAUCAUGGAGGGUGAGAAUCCCGUCUUUGAUCCGAGUAGUUGUCUUUUGUGAUAUGUUUUCAAAGAGUCAGGUUGUUUGGGAAUGCAGCCUAAAUUGGGUGGUAAAUCUCACCUAAAGCUAAAUAUUUGCGAGAGACCGAUAGCGAACAAGUACCGUGAGGGAAAGAUGAAAAGAACUUUGAAAAGAGAGUUAAACAGUAUGUGAAAUUGUUAAAAGGGAACCGUUUGGAGCCAGACUGGUUUGACUGUAAUCAACCUAGAAUUCGUUCUGGGUGCACUUGCAGUCUAUACCUGCCAACAACAGUUUGAUUUGGAGGAAAAAAUUAGUAGGAAUGUAGCCUCUCGAGGUGUUAUAGCCUACUAUCAUACUCUGGAUUGGACUGAGGAACGCAGCGAAUGCCAUUAGGCGAGAUUGCUGGGUGCUUUCGCUAAUAAAUGUUAGAAUUUCUGCUUCGGGUGGUGCUAAUGUUUAAAGGAGGAACACAUCUAGUAUAUUUUUUAUUCGCUUAGGUUGUUGGCUUAAUGACUCUAA
rnacentral:rRNA from 1 species